rnacentral:rRNA from 2 species
GACGGACGCUGGCGGCGUGCCUAAUACAUGCAAGUCGAACGAACUCUGGUAUUGAUUGGUGCUUGCAUCAUGAUUUACAUUUGAGUGAGUGGCGAACUGGUGAGUAACACGUGGGAAACCUGCCCAGAAGCGGGGGAUAACACCUGGAAACAGAUGCUAAUACCGCAUAACAACUUGGACCGCAUGGUCCGAGCUUGAAAGAUGGCUUCAGCUAUCACUUUUGGAUGGUCCCGCGGCGUAUUAGCUAGAUGGUGGGGUAACGGCUCACCAUGGCAAUGAUACGUAGCCGACCUGAGAGGGUAAUCGGCCACAUUGGGACUGAGACACGGCCCAAACUCCUACGGGAGGCAGCAGUAGGGAAUCUUCCACAAUGGACGAAAGUCUGAUGGAGCAACGCCGCGUGAGUGAAGAAGGGUUUCGGCUCGUAAAACUCUGUUGUUAAAGAAGAACAUAUCUGAGAGUAACUGUUCAGGUAUUGACGGUAUUUAACCAGAAAGCCACGGCUAACUACGUGCCAGCAGCCGCGGUAAUACGUAGGUGGCAAGCGUUGUCCGGAUUUAUUGGGCGUAAAGCGAGCGCAGGCGGUUUUUUAAGUCUGAUGUGAAAGCCUUCGGCUCAACCGAAGAAGUGCAUCGGAAACUGGGAAACUUGAGUGCAGAAGAGGACAGUGGAACUCCAUGUGUAGCGGUGAAAUGCGUAGAUAUAUGGAAGAACACCAGUGGCGAARGCGGCUGUCUGGUCUGUAACUGACGCUGAGGCUCGAAAGUAUGGGUAGCAAACAGGAUUAGAUACCCUGGUAGUCCAUACCGUAAACGAUGAAUGCUAAGUGUUGGAGGGUUUCCGCCCUUCAGUGCUGCAGCUAACGCAUUAAGCAUUCCGCCUGGGGAGUACGGCCGCAAGGCUGAAACUCAAAGGAAUUGACGGGGGCCCGCACAAGCGGUGGAGCAUGUGGUUUAAUUCGAAGCUACGCGAAGAACCUUACCAGGUCUUGACAUACUAUGCAAAUCUAAGAGAUUAGACGUUCCCUUCGGGGACAUGGAUACAGGUGGUGCAUGGUUGUCGUCAGCUCGUGUCGUGAGAUGUUGGGUUAAGUCCCGCAACGAGCGCAACCCUUAUUAUCAGUUGCCAGCAUUAAGUUGGGCACUCUGGUGAGACUGCCGGUGACAAACCGGAGGAAGGUGGGGAUGACGUCAAACCAUCAUGCCCCUUAUGACCUGGGCUACACACGUGCUACAAUGGAUGGUACAACGAGUUGCGAACUCGCGAGAGUAAGCUAAUCUCUUAAAGCCAUUCUCAGUUCGGAUUGUAGGCUGCAACUCGCCUACAUGAAGUCGGAAUCGCUAGUAAUCGCGGAUCAGCAUGCCGCGGUGAAUACGUUCCCGGGCCUUGUACACACCGCCCGUCACACCAUGAGAGUUUGUAACACCCAAAGUCGGUGGGGUAACCUUUUAGGAACCAGCCGCCUAAGGUGGGACAGAUGAUUAGGGUGAAG